ensembl:lncRNA
GCGCUGUAUAAAUAAAAAAUGAACAUGCAUACAUACUAUGAUGAGCCACUGGCAGACAGCUUGGCCUGGCUUUCCUUUGUAUACACUGGCUGAGUCCUGGUAGUGAAACUGGCCGUCCAUGGUUUGCUGCUCAGAGCUGUGAGAUGGGAGCUCUUCCUUGGUUCUGGCAGUAGCAGCAGCAUUGUAGUACUUGGGUUCCUGUCUCCUGAGCUCCCGUGGUUCUCCUCUGGAAAGAUGUGAUGCAGGUAGCAUUAAGCAGGAUAAAAGGAAAAGCUGGACAUCAUCAGCGUCUUCCAGUCCACCAGCUUUGCAGCCGUGUAUUAAAACUGGCUUCAAUUUAUCUGCUUGUGAUCAAGCUGCAGGAAGCUCUGUGUGCUAAAUUGGACAUUACACUGAUGUCUCUUUCCAUUGAGGAUUUUUUUUGUGAUUUUUGUUGUUAGCACAUCUAACUAUGUGAAGAACAAAGUAUUAAGAAUAUUUUAAUAAUUUACAUUUGGGAUGUCAUCUUUUUGUGUUCCCUUCAUUUUUGUUAUUUAUUUUAUUUUAUUUUAUUUUUGAGCAGUCUAUAUUCACAUUGGUUUUUUGGGGGGGUUGUUUUCUUAAAGCCUACUUUCUUUGUCAAUUUCUUUCUGUCCACAGCAUCUCACAAGUAAGGCACACACCCACAUCAAGAGCUGCUCUACAGUCACAGACUCUGGUCAGGAGAAGAGAUUUUCCAGUGCCUAAUCUCCUGGGUUCAGUGGGUGAAGUUGAACAGUCUGUGAAGCUGCAAAAAUGGCAGACUGGAAGACUCUGAUGGCUUUCAUCAAUUUGAAUCUCUCAGAAUCUCAACAGUGUCCUGGAGGAAGCACGUAAAGGCUUUGAACAAGAAGCUUGACUUCAUGACAGGCUUCAUGCUUCUUUGUAGUUGGCAGGUGUAGACACUGCACCAGAUUUCUGAGUUUUAACAAAUUUAU